UUGUAGCUUCGCGGCUGCUCCGAGAUUCUGGGCUGGUCGUUCUAUCGUCUUGCUCGGAGCGAGCAAAAUGGUGUCCAAAAGGAGCAUGUCGAAUUCGUCAACACCUGAGUGGCGGCGACUUCUGAGGACAAGAAAGGGAAGAAAUCGAAAGGAUUGGUGGCUUCAGUUCCUAGUUCUACCAAAAGUCAUGUCAAGAAAAAUUCUGGUGCAAGCAUUGGUGAAGUCGUGUUGCCUAAUAAUGACCCGGCCAAAAUUGAGGCAAUGACAUUUCAUGAAUUGAGAGCUACAUUGAGGGAGAUUAUUGAGCAGGGAAGUGAAUAUUACUGAUGGAAAACCAUGAGGUCUUGAGAAUUUGCCUUCAACAAAGAGCAAUUUGUUUAUGAAAAUGAAUUUUUUUGCAUCACGCUUUUUCUCAAAAUGAUAAUGAAACCUGUAAGUCAUUUUUUGUCUUUCUAUGGUUGUUUCUAAGGCUUGUAAAUUGUUAUUGUAAAGCAUGUGGGAAGAGUACACAGAACGACUGGGUUGAAGGACUGGCUCCCUACCUAUUGUUGCAGUUCAAAGGCAUUAUGAUUUGUUACAGCAAGUGCAUUUGACCCCAAUGAAUUGUCAUAUUUUGACCGAGAAUGUUGGAGUCUAUAUAGACAUUCUGAUGUUUUAAUCUAGUUAAUUGAUAUAAUAAUAUGCUUGUAGUAGGGUUAGUCCAUUUGCUUUGUGUCUAUUCGAAUGAAAUGCUUCUCAUCUUAAAUAAAGAUCACAGCCAAUGAUCAGUUAAGUUGCUUAUGAGAUAUAAUUAGCAUCUCAAGUGAUGUUGGAUGAAUAACAAAAUCGACAUAAGUUGCACUUUGUAUGCUGUGAGUUCCACCUGAAUCUCUGCAGAAGCAUAGUCACAAAAAACAGGAGAGAAUUAAGUCUUGAUCUCUAUUCGAUAGAUAAAUAGCUGCUCCAAGCAAAGAGAGAAAUUAUGUUACUUAGUUGAAUAUAUUUAAGAUAGCAUGGUCCAUAGACUCUGUGCUUUGAAAUGGCCUAGCUAAAAUGUGACGAAAGAUGAUCAAAUUGUGAUAUUCUUUAAGCCCAAGUGUAAUAAUUUAUAUUAUUGGGCAAUUAGAGUUUUCUUUCAUUAUUGCGAGUGCUUUUUCUCACAUCUAU